GACGAACCGUGCAAACGUUAUUCGGAUUCACUGGGCUUAAAGAGCACGUAGGCGGCCUUGUAAGUGAGGGGUGAAAUCCCAUCGGCUCAACCGUGGAAUUGCUUUUCAUACUGCAAGGCUUGAGGGAGGUAGGGGUCUGUGGAACUUCCGGUGGAGCGGUGAAAUGUGUUGAUAUCGGAAGGAACGCUGGUGGCGAAAGCGACAGACUGGAUCUUCACUGACGCUGAGGCGCGAAAGCUAGGGUAGCGAACGGG
rnacentral:rRNA from 1 species